rnacentral:rRNA from 1 species
UACGUAGGGUGCAAGCGUUGUCCGGAAUUAUUGGGCGUAAAGAGCUCGUAGGCGGUUCGUCGCGUCGGCUGUGAAAUCCCGAGGCUCAACCUCGGGUCUGCAGUCGAUACGGGCGGACUGGAGUACUGCAGGGGGAGACUGGAAUUCCUGGUGUAGCGGUGAAAUGCGCAGAUAUCAGGAGGAACACCGGUGGCGAAGGCGGGUCUCUGGGCAGUUACUGACGCUGAGGAGCGAAAGCGUGGGGAGCGAACAGG